rnacentral:tRNA from 1 species
GUGGGUAUAGCUCAGUGGUAGAGGGCAUGCUUCACAUGUACGAGGUCCUGGAAUCAAUUCCCAGUGCCUCUA